UACGGAGGAGGCAAGCGUUAUCCGGAAUUAUUGGGCGUAAAGCGUCCGCAGGUGGCACUUCAAGUCUGUCGUCAAAGACUGGGGCUUAACCCUGGAAAGGCGGUGGAAACUGAAGCGCUAGAGUGUGGUAGGGGUAGAGGGAAUUCCAGGUGUAGCGGUGAAAUGCGUAGAUAUCUGGAGGAACACCGGUGGCGAAGGCGGCAUCCUGGACCGGUAUUGACGCUGAGGCGCGAAAGCUAGGGGAGCAAACGGG
rnacentral:rRNA from 1 species